UACGUAGGGUCCGAGCGUUGUCCGGAUUUAUUGGGCGUAAAGAGCUCGUAGGUGGUUUGUCGCGUUGUUCGUGAAAACUCACAGCUCAACUGUGGGCGUGCGGGCGAUACGGGCAGACUUGAGUACUGCAGGGGAGACUGGAAUUCCUGGUGUAGCGGUGGAAUGCGCAGAUAUCAGGAGGAACACCGGUGGCGAAGGCGGGUCUCUGGGCAGUAACUGACGCUGAGGAGCGAAAGCGUGGGGAGCGAACAGG
rnacentral:rRNA from 1 species